rnacentral:piRNA from 1 species
CAGCCGCCAAUGGGGUAACUUUUUU